ACGUACACUCCUGCGGGAGGCAGCAGUGAGGAAUAUUGGACAAUGGGUGGAAGCCUGAUCCAGCCAUCCCGCGUGCAGGAAGACGGCCCUAUGGGUUGUAAACUGCUUUUAUCUGGGGAUAAACCUACUUACGUGUAAGUAGCUGAAGGUACCAGAAGAAUAAGCACCGGCUAACUCCGUGCCAGCAGCCGCGGUAAUACGGAGGGUGCAAGCGUUAUCCGGAUUUAUUGGGUUUAAAGGGUCCGUAGGCGGACUGAUAAGUCAGUGGUGAAAUCCGACAGCUUAACUGUCGAACUGCCAUUGAUACUGUUAGUCUUGAGUAAGGUUGAAGUGGCUGGAAUAAGUAGUGUAGCGGUGAAAUGCAUAGAUAUUACUUAGAACACCAAUUGCGAAGGCAGGUCACUAAGUCUUAACUGACGCUGAUGGACGAAAGCGUGGGGAGCGAACAGGAUUAGAAACCCUAGUAGUCCC
rnacentral:rRNA from 1 species